UACGAAUCGUCCAAACGUUGUUCGGAUUCACUGGGUUUAAAGGGCGCGUAGGCGGUGCGUUAAGUCGGCGGUGAAAUACUUCGGCUCAACCGGAGAAUUGCCGCUGAAACUAGCGUGCUCGAGGAAGGUAGAGGUGCGUGGAACUUCCGGUGGAGCGGUGAAAUGCGUUGAUAUCGGAAGGAACACCUGUGGCGAAAGCGAUGCACUGGACCUUUUCUGACGCUGAGGCGCGAAAGCCAGGGGAGCGAACGGG
rnacentral:rRNA from 1 species